GCAAAGGGUGUGAUUCUCAUUUCUCUCCCAUGGAUUAAUUACUCGUUUCAUGUUAAUAGCCCGCUCGUCUAUUGUGCCAGGUACAGCUACAUUGAUCAGCUUACAUAAAAGAACUCCAUCCUUUGCCAAAUCAAACAAAGCAUUUGAAGCUGGAUCUAUUGGAAGAAAUUGCUUUAAGAAUGGAUCAUCUCUUAAAUAGCUGUUUAUAUGAGCAACAUAAGAUGAUUUCUCUGAUUCACUGAUCGUGUGAAGGAGUGUAGUUGUGGAAGCCUUCAGGAAGGACGACGAACUUUUAGAACUGCCUACUUUUGGGGCAGCUCGAGCUUGUAGAUUCAAGUAUGUUUUAAGGAAGCUUUCGAAAUCAAUCUCAUCAUUCACAUCUGAACCUGA
rnacentral:misc_RNA from 1 species